rnacentral:rRNA from 1 species
AUUGAACGCUGGCGGCAGGCCUAACACAUGCAAGUCGAGCGAGCGGCGGACGGGUGAGUAAUGUGUGGGGAACUUGCCGUUAGAGGGGGAAAACUACUGGGAAAGGUGUCUUAUACCCCAUUCUCUAGGUUGAACCCAUAUGGGAUUAGCUAGUAGGUGGGGUAAAGGCUCACCUAGGCGACGAUCUCUAGCUGGUCUGAGAGGAUGAGCAGCCACACUGGGACUGAGACACGGCCCAGACUCCUACGGGAGGCAGCAGUGGGGAAUAUUGCACAAUGGGCGAAAGCCUGAUGCAGCAAUGCCGCGUGUAUGAAGAAGGCCUUAGGGUUGUAAAGUACUUUCAGCGGGGAGGCGGGAACCGCAGAAGAAGCACCGGCUAACUCCGUGCCAGCAGGCGCGGUAAUUA